GUAGGUGGCAAGCGUUGUCCGGGAUUUACUGGGGCGUAAAGGGGCGUGCAGGGCGGGUUCGCUAAGUUCGAGGUGAAAGCUCCCGGCUCAACUGGGAGAGGUCCCCGGAUACUGGCGGACUUGAGGGAGGUAGAGGAAAGUGGAAUUCCCGGUGUAGUGGUGAUAUGCGUAGAUAUCGGGAGGAACACCAGUGGCGAAGGCGGCUUUCUGGGCCUUACCUGACGCUGAGACGCGAAAGCGUGGGGAGCGAACCGGAUUAGAUACCCGGGUAGUCCACGCCGUAAACGAUGGACACUAGGUGUGGGGGGUAUCGACCCCCUCCGUGCCGAAGCCAACGCGAUAAGUGUCCCGCCUGGGGAGUACGGCCGCAAGGCUA
rnacentral:rRNA from 1 species